AGAGUUUGAUCCUGGCUCAGGAUGAACGCUAGCUACAGGCUUAACACAUGCAAGUCGAGGGGAAACGAUAGAGAAAGCUUGCUUUUUCUAGGCGUCGACCGGCGCACGGGUGAGUAACGCGUAUCCAACCUGCCCAUCACUUGGGGAUAACCUUGCGAAAGUAAGACUAAUACCCAAUGACGUCUCUAGAGACAUCUGAAAGAGAUUAAAGAUUUAUCGGUGAUGGAUGGGGAUGCGUCUGAUUAGCUUGUUGGCGGGGUAACGGCCCACCAAGGCGACGAUCAGUAGGGGUUCUGAGAGGAAGGUCCCCCACAUUGGAACUGAGACACGGUCCAAACUCCUACGGGAGGCAGCAGUGAGGAAUAUUGGUCAAUGGGCGAGAGCCUGAAUCAGCCAAGUAGCGUGCAGGAAGACGGCCCUAUGGGUUGUAAACUGCUUUUAUAAGGGAAUAAAGUGAGUCUCGUGAGACUUUUUGCAUGUACCUUAUGAAUAAGGACCGGCUAAUUCCGUGCCAGCAGCCGCGGUAAUACGGAAGGUCCGGGCGUUAUCCGGAUUUAUUGGGUUUAAAGGGAGCGUAGGCCGAAGAUUAAGCGUGUUGUGAAAUGUAGACGCUCAACGUCUGCACUGCAGCGCGAACUGGUUUCCUUGAGUACGCACAAAGUGGGCGGAAUUCGUGGUGUAGCGGUAAAAUGCUUAGAUAUCACGAAGAACUCCGAUUGCGAAGGCAGCUCACUGGAGCGCAACUGACGCUGAAGCUCGAAAGUGCGGGUAUCGAACAGGAUUAGAUACCCUGGUAGUCCGCACGGUAAACGAUGGAUGCCCGCUGUUGGUCUGAAUAGGUCAGCGGCCAAGCGAAAGCAUUAAGCAUCCCACCUGGGGAGUACGCCGGCAACGGUGAAA
rnacentral:rRNA from 1 species